AUUCGUCACUAGCGCUUCCCCAAAUUCUUGUUUCCCCGGUUUUCCCCCCCAAUAUUUCCCCCAAUUUCUUGUUUCCAGCGCGCAGCCCCUCCCGAUCCUCCUCUCUCCCAAUCCUCCUCUCUCCGUCACCCGUCGCCGUCGACGUCGCCCGUCGCCGUUGCCUCGCCAUCGCCGUUGGAUCACAUCUGAAGCGUCUCAUAGGUUACCUUGUCAUUUUUCCCCUUCGGAUCAUCGCAUCUGAAGCAUCUCAGAGUUCGAAACUGUGACACGGGCCCUGGGACCUGGAUUCGCGCGUCCCCAUGGGCAGCCAUAGACGCUGAAUAUAAAAGGGGCACUGCAUCUUCAUCCCUCUUGUCCGUGUAUGAACACUGCAUCUACUCCCUCUGCCAUCGCUGCUCCUGACGCUCUGGUUUCCCGGAACCGAUUUGGGAGGUACUCAUCUGGUUGCGCAUUGAAUCGCAGCAAAUCGCGGGAAUUAGUGCCCAUGGGUCUCGCCGGCAAUUCUCUGGUUAAAAGCGAGACAGGGGAUGCCGAAUACGUGAUCGAGGAUGUUCCCCAUAUCAUCGAUUACAUUUCUGAUUUCCCUUGUUCGCGGCUGUCAUAACAUCAACACGAUGCCAUGCACGCAUGCACCACAGUCGUCGGAUGCAACUUUUGAUUAUUUUUUUGUAAUUUUUAUUGUGAUUUGAACAAAUGGAAUUUUUGUAUUUUAAUUUGAAUUUGUAUUUGAAUUUUAAAAUUUUUUUUAUUGUCUGAACAGAUGUUAUUUCUUUAUAUUAAUUGAAUUUGUAAUUGAAUUCGAAAUUUUGAAUGAUUUAUGAAUUUUGUAAUAA